UAAUUACUCCCUCCGUCCGGAAUUACUUGCGCAAGAAUGGAUAAAGUUGGAUGUAUCUAAAACUAAAAUAUGUCUAGAUACAUUUAUUUUUCCAACAAGUAUUUCCGGACGGAGGGAGUACGUA
rfam:Triticum aestivum genome assembly, contig: Triticum_aestivum_CS42_TGACv1_scaffold_577469_7BL